UUUUUUUUUCCCCUUUUUUUAUGCUCUGUGUGUGUGUGUGUGUCAAGAUUUUAGAUGUGAAUCCUUCAAAGUUGUCAGACUACGUUUCCCUCCAGCUGGUUUGGAGCUGAUUUUCCAACUUCUUUUACAAAAAGCAAUAACAUUUCUGAAUGGGGCAGUGUGGAGAAAUCCUAAGAGAAAUAGCAUAAGAGCAUUUUGGAAUAUAUCCCGGAAAAGAUAACUUUCUACACAUCUGUAGACAUUUGCCAGGUUAAG
rnacentral:lncRNA from 1 species